rnacentral:ncRNA from 1 species
AUAUGAAAAGCGCCAGAACUGCAGGACAGCCAGUUUUGCAGUGGACGAGGUAGGGGUUGAUCGAAAAUUCGGCGGAUGGCCCCUCGGCUGCGAGUGAGUCGGUCGUUAGCAGAACGUGUAAACCCCGGGAGCAAUUCCGGAAACAGAGCGUUG